CAAGAGCGUAUAUUAAAGUUGCUGCGGUUAAAAAGCUCGUAGUUGGAUUUCAGUCUAGGAAGGUUAACUCGCCGAAAGGUUGUACGUUGAUUUUCCUCCGACUUCGUCAGAAGCUCGUGCUGCACUUAACUGUGUGGUACGAUGUUCUGACCUUUUACCUUGAGGAAAGUAGAGUGUUUCAGGCAGGCUACCCAGCUUGAAUACAUUAGCAUGGAAUAAUGAAAUGGAUCUCGGUUCGAUUUCGUUGGUUCUAGAGCUGAGGUGAUGAUCAAUAGGAACAGGCGAAGGUAUUCGUACUUGAGAGUGAGGAGUGAAAUCCGAUGAUCUCUUAAAGACGAUCCGAGGCGAAAGCAUUUGUCAAGGAUGUUUUCAUUGA
rnacentral:rRNA from 1 species